rnacentral:rRNA from 1 species
UACGUAGGGUCCGAGCGUUGUCCGGAAUUAUUGGGCGUAAAGAGCUCGUAGGCGGUCUGUUGCGUCGGGAGUGAAAUCUUACAGCUUAACUGUGAACUUGCUUUCGAUACGGGGCAGACUUGAGGGUAUUACAGGGGAGACGGAAUUCCGUGGUGUAGCGGUGAAAUGCGCAGAUAUCAGGAGAACACCUAUGGCGAAGGCAGCUCUCUGGGACGGUACUGACGCUGAGACGCGAAAGCGUGGGGAGCGAACAGG